GAUUACGGCCAUACCACACUGACAACGCCCGAUCUCGUCUGAUCUCGGAAGCUAAGGAGAGUUGGUCUUGGUCAGUACUUGGAUGGGUGACCGCCUGGGAAUCGCUGGUGCUGUAAGCA
rnacentral:rRNA from 1 species